rnacentral:tRNA from 1 species
GAAUAUGAAGUGAUAAAUCACAAUUAGUUUCGACCUAAUCUUAGGUAACUUUACCCUU